rnacentral:rRNA from 1 species
UACAGAGGGUGCAAGCGUUAAUCGGAAUUACUGGGCGUAAAGCGUGCGUAGACGGUUACAUAAGUCGGGUGUGAAAGCCCCGGGCUCAACCUGGGAAUUGCAUUCGAGACUGCGUAGCUAGGGUGCGGAAGAGGGAAGCGGAAUUUCCGGUGUAGAGGUGAAAUUCGUAGAUAUCGAGAGGAACACCGGUGGCGAAGGCGGCGAUCUGGACGAUGACUGCGCUGA